rnacentral:rRNA from 1 species
AUUGAACGCUGGCGGCAGGCCUAACACAUGCAAGUCGAACGAGUGGCGGACGGGUGAGUAAUGUCUGGGGAUCUGCCCGAUGGAGGGGGAUAACUACUGGAAACGGUAGCUAAUACCGCAUACUAUCGGAUGUCCCCAGAUGGGAUUAGCUUGUGGGUGGGGUAAAGGCUCACCUAGGCGACGAUCCCUAGCUGGUCUGAGAGGAUGACCAGCCACACUGGAACUGAGACACGGCCCAGACUCCUACGGGAGGCAGCAGUGGGGAAUAUUGCACAAUGGGCGCAAGCCUGAUGCAGCCAUGCCGCGUGUAUGAAGAAGGCCUUAGGGUUGGAAAGUACUUUCAGCGGGGAGGCGUUACCCGCAGAAGAAGCACCGGCUAACUCCGUGCCAGCAGCCGCGGUAAUAC